UCAGCAAGUUUGACUCGCCUAGUGGAGGG
rnacentral:sRNA from 1 species